UCAUAACACAUCAAUUGCUUGAGAACAAGAUGUACUGGCUUGCAUUAGUCAUACUCCAGAUCUGUACAUAAAAGAAAUUAGAAUAGGAGGCUUAAGAGACAUUCUGCUCUUGUUUGACUCAGCAGCAAGAUAAGCACACAGAAAAGUGCCUGCAAAUGUCAGAUCUAGAACUAUGCAACUAAAAGCAUUUUUUGAUGUUUUAAUUCAAAAACAUUGAAGAGGGGAACAUUGAAGAGGGAAAGUCAGAAAGUCAGAAAGUGAUCAUAAUACGUACAUCAGUGUUGAAGGAAAGGUUCUGCUGAUGAGGAUACCAGCUAGAAAACCACUGAGAUAUACAAAGAACAAGCAUGAUGUGUCUAUUGGAGGAACGGCUCAUUAUUUGUGAAUUUAUACGACUGUCAUAAUAUGUGGUUGUCACAUGGCUUUUUAAAAGUUCUAGUUAAGUUUGUUUUAACUUGUUCCAAAUUCUGCACUGUGUGUUUCAAUAAACCAUUGUCCUCAA